ensembl:snoRNA
AUCCUUCGGUUCAUAAGCGUGAUGAUUGGGUGUUCACGCUCUUGUGUGAGAUGUGCCUCCCUCUAAACCUUGUUACGACAUCAGCACAUUACCCAUCUGACG